AAAUUUCACUGAUUAGAGAACUAGGAGCCCAAACUCGUUCUGUUUUGGGCAACGGAGAGAAGGAAAUUCGCGAUGUGGCUCGCCUGUGUCACAGCCUUGGAGGUCCUGUUCGGGCCGUCGAGUGGCACAGCUGAGAUUUCUGAUCGUAAUCUGAAACGGAAAUAGCUGCCAUUUAGGAGACGUAACCGUUUCCACUAUCGCAUUUUACCUACCCGUAAAAUGCAAAUUUAUCGCUAAUUUCAAUAGCUGCUUCGUCAGAGACUGUGAGGAAUGGGCUGAUUAAUAAAUAUACCCUAGAGAUAAAUUAUCCCUUCGAAUAAGGUUAUCAGCGUUAAAAUUGUAAAAGUACUUUCCAGACGUGAAAAAUUAGGUAUGUGACAGAAAGAUAAUUAAUUAAAGAAAAAAAUAAAACAGAAACGAAACCACCGUAGGAGCACUAACUCUCUCCACAUUGGAAGAGAUGGCAACUUGUCUGAGAAAAAUUCGUCACUACGAAAAAUAUUGCCCUGCAGUUGCUGUCGCUCUGAAUUGAUAGGAGAGCAGAAAAUACUUGAUGCCUGUCACCGACGAACAGUGCUGUGGAGUUAGUUUAUCUUUACAUUAAAUCUGGGACAUAUUAACUGUUCCCUGGUCUAAAGUCUGUCUGCUCUGCCUUUCCAGCCGCGAUUGAAUCUGAAGGAAAUCAGAUGUGCGAGAGUGAUCGAAACGUGCUAAGCUAGAGGAUCUUGCAGGAGUUUAAACGCCGUGGCGGUGGAGAUGAGAUCGAUGGUGGAGAGGAAGGAAGGAAAUGGAUGUUAUCUGUCCGAGGGCGCUCCCGCAGCCUCCUCGCCCUCCCGCCCAUCUCCGACGGUGCCUUGGGCCGCCCCGCUCAGCGCUCCCGCCGCCCGCGGCUGCCGGGCCACACACGCCAUCGCCACCGGUGCGACGGCCCCGGCGAGGCCCGCGGGAGCAGAGCCAGCCGCCGCGCGUUCCCGCCGAGGAGACCCUGACCCCUUGCUCCGCACCUCUCCGCACCCCUCCACGCCGCGCAGCGGGGUGCGCGCAGCCUGCCCCGCUCUACGGCGGAUGGACAGAUCGCCCGGAUUGUUUUUACUUUUAGAGGAAUGUCCCUUACUGUUGAUUUUUUUUUUUUACUCCUCCCUAGGUUUCUGUAGGUUACUAUGUGGCAUGUUGUUCUCAUUUCUUGACUUUUUGAAAUAACUGGAUUUAAAUUUAUCGAACAACCUGUUAUCCAUA